rnacentral:rRNA from 1 species
UUUUAAUUGAAGGCUUGUAUGAAAGGUUGGACAAGAAGUUAGCUGUCUUUAUUUUUGGAUUUGAAUUUGUCUUUUAAGUGAAAAGACUUAAAUUAUUUUAAGGGACGAUAAGACCCUAUAAAUCUUUACAUUAAUAUAAUUUUAUUUAAAAUUUUGAUGUUAUGUGUAAUAAAAAGAUGAGAUGUUGUAUUGGGGUGAUAAGAAUAAAUAAUAAACUGUUCUAAUAAUAAACAAAGGUGUUUGAAAUAUUAAAGAUCCUUUUUAGAGAUUAAAAGUUUAAGUUACUUUAGGGAUAACAGCGUUAUUUUUUUUGAGAGUUCUAAUCGAAAAAAAAGUUUGCGACCUCGAUGUUGAAUUAAAAUUUCUUUAUGGUGUAGUUGUUAUAAGAGAAAGUCUGUUCGACUUUUAAAAUUUUACGUGAUCU